CACGUAGGGUGCGAGCGUUGUCCGGAAUUAUUGGGCGUAAAGAGCUCGUAGGCGGUGUGUCGCGUCGGCCGUGAAAACCUGCAGCUUAACUGUGGGCUUGCGGUCGAUACGGGCAUCACUGGAGUUCGGCAGGGGAGACUGGAAUUCCUGGUGUAGCGGUGAAAUGCGCAGAUAUCAGGAGGAACACCGGUGGCGAAGGCGGGUCUCUGGGCCUGCACUGACGCUCAUGCACGAAAGCGUGGGGAGCAAACAGG
rnacentral:rRNA from 1 species